rnacentral:rRNA from 1 species
UACGUAGGGGCAAGCGUUGUCCGGAAUCAUUGGGCGUAAAGCGCGCGUAGGCGGCCCGUUAAGUCGGAUGUGAAACCCGGGCUCAACCCCGGCCUGCAUUCGAUACUGGCGGGCUCGAGGCAGGCAGGGAGAGUGGAAUUCCUGGUGUAGCGGUGAAAUGCGUAGGAUAUCGGGAGGAACACCAGUGGCGUAAGCGAAUCACCUGGCUAGACCUGACGCUGAGGGACGAAGGCGUGGGAG